rnacentral:pre_miRNA from 1 species
AGGAUUAUUGCUGGGUCCUGUGAUAAGUAUAUGUUUAGUUUUAUAAGAAAUUGCUACACUGUGUUCCAAAGUGGCUAUACCAUUUUGCAUUCCCGCCAGCAAU